UUCUGAAAAAAACACUGAUUUCUGCCAAACAUUGUGGCCUGAGACCCAGCAUCCUAGCAUGGGAGACAAUCACCCACAAUUCCAAAAGGAGAGGGAGAGAGAGA